rnacentral:rRNA from 1 species
GUCGAGCGGACAGAAGGGAGCUUGCUCCCGGAUGUUAGCGGCGGACGGGUGAGUAACACGUGGGUAACCUGCCUGUAAGACUGGGAUAACUCCGGGAAACCGGAGCUAAUACCGGAUAGUUCCUUGAACCGCAUGGUUCAAGGAUGAAAGACGGUUUCGGCUGUCACUUACAGAUGGACCCGCGGCGCAUUAGCUAGUUGGUGAGGUAACGGCUCACCAAGGCGACGAUGCGUAGCCGACCUGAGAGGGUGAUCGGCCACACUGGGACUGAGACACGGCCCAGACUCCUACGGGAGGCAGCAGUAGGGAAUCUUCCGCAAUGGACGAAAGUCUGACGGAGCAACGCCGCGUGAGUGAUGAAGGUUUUCGGAUCGUAAAGCUCUGUUGUUAGGGAAGAACAAGUGCAAGAGUAACUGCUUGCACCUUGACGGUACCUAACCAGAAAGCCACGGCUAACUACGUGCCAGCAGCCGCGGUAAUACGUAGGUGGCAAGCGUUGUCCGGAAUUAUUGGGCGUAAAGGGCUCGCAGGCGGUUUCUUAAGUCUGAUGUGAAAGCCCCCGGCUCAACCGGGGAGGGUCAUUGGAAACUGGGAAACUUGAGUGCAGAAGAGGAGAGUGGAAUUCCACGUGUAGCGGUGAAAUGCGUAGAGAUGUGGAGGAACACC